rnacentral:rRNA from 1 species
UUAAGCGACUAAGCGUACACGGUGGAUGCCCUGGCAGUCAGAGGCGAUGAAGGGCGUGCUAAUCUGCGAUAAGCGCCGGUAAGGUGAUAUGAACCGUUAUAACCGGCGAUACCCGAAUGGGGAAACCCAGUGUGACUCGUCACACUAUCAUUAACUGAAUCCAUAGGUUAAUGAGGCGAACCGGGGGAACUGAAACAUCUAAGUACCCCGAGGAAAAGAAAUCAACCGAGAUUCCCCCAGUAGCGGCGAGCGAACGGGGAGGAGCCCAGAGCCUGAAUCAGCAUGUGUGUUAGUGGAAGCGUCUGGAAAGGCGCGCGAUACAGGGUGACAGCCCCGUACACAAAAGCGCAUGUGCUGUGAGCUCGAUGAGUAGGGCGGGACACGUGGUAUCCUGUCUGAAUAUGGGGGGACCAUCCUCCAAGGCUAAAUACUCCUGACUGACCGAUAGUGAACCAGUACCGUGAGGGAAAGGCGAAAAGAACCCCGGCGAGGGGAGUGAAAAAGAACCUGAAACCGUGUACGUACAAGCAGUGGGAGCCCCACCACCAAAGCAUUCUCUGGUGUUGAAGGCCCUGCAAAGCAGCAUCGCGGUGGCGGAGCGUCGUUUGCGACGCCCAACACACAAAACAAGCGGUGAGUGCUUUGGGGUGGGGUGACUGCGUACCUUUUGUAUAAUGGGUCAGCGACUUAUAUUCUGUAGCAAGGUUAACCGUAUAGGGGAGCCGGAGGGAAACCGAGUCUUAACCGGGCGUUAAGUUGCAGGGUAUAGACCCGAAACCCGGUGAUCUAGCCAUGGGCAGGUUGAAGGUUGGGUAACACUAACUGGAGGACCGAACCGACUAAUGUUGAAAAAUUAGCGGAUGACCUGUGGCUGGGGGUGAAAGGCCAAUCAAACCGGGAGAUAGCUGGUUCUCCCCGAAAGCUAUUUAGGUAGCGCCUCGUGAAUUCAUCUCCGGGGGUAGAGCACUGUUUCGGCUAGGGGGCCAUCCCGGCUUACCAACCCGAUGCAAACUGCGAAUACCGGAGAAUGUUAUCACGGGAGACACACGGCGGGUGCUAACGUCCGUCGUGAAGAGGGAAACAACCCAGACCGCCAGCUAAGGUCCCAAAGUCAUGGUUAAGUGGGAAACGAUGUGGGAAGGCCCAGACAGCCAGGAUGUUGGCUUAGAAGCAGCCAUCAUUUAAAGAAAGCGUAAUAGCUCACUGGUCGAGUCGGCCUGCGCGGAAGAUGUAACGGGGCUAAACCAUGCACCGAAGCUGCGGCAGCGACGCUUAUGCGUUGUUGGGUAGGGGAGCGUUCUGUAAGCCUGUGAAGGUGGCCUGUGAGGGUUGCUGGAGGUAUCAGAAGUGCGAAUGCUGACAUAAGUAACGAUAAAGCGGGUGAAAAGCCCGCUCGCCGGAAGACCAAGGGUUCCUGUCCAACGUUAAUCGGGGCAGGGUGAGUCGACCCCUAAGGCGAGGCCGAAAGGCGUAGUCGAUGGGAAACGGGUUAAUAUUCCCGUACUUGGUGUUACUGCGAAGGGGGGACGGAGAAGGCUAUGUUGGCCGGGCGACGGUUGUCCCGGUUUAAGCGUGUAGGUGUGUGUUCCAGGUAAAUCCGGUUCACUUUAACACUGAGGCGUGAUGACGAGGCACUACGGUGCUGAAGCAACAAAUGCCCUGCUUCCAGGAAAAGCCUCUAAGCAUCAGGUAACAUCAAAUCGUACCCCAAACCGACACAGGUGGUCAGGUAGAGAAUACCAAGGCGCUUGAGAGAACUCGGGUGAAGGAACUAGGCAAAAUGGUGCCGUAACUUCGGGAGAAGGCACGCUGACAUGUAGGUGAAGUGAUUUACUCAUGGAGCUGAAGUCAGUCGAAGAUACCAGCUGGCUGCAACUGUUUAUUAAAAACACAGCACUGUGCAAACACGAAAGUGGACGUAUACGGUGUGACGCCUGCCCGGUGCCGGAAGGUUAAUUGAUGGGGUCAGCGCAAGCGAAGCUCCUGAUCGAAGCCCCGGUAAACGGCGGCCGUAACUAUAACGGUCCUAAGGUAGCGAAAUUCCUUGUCGGGUAAGUUCCGACCUGCACGAAUGGCGUAAUGAUGGCCAGGCUGUCUCCACCCGAGACUCAGUGAAAUUGAACUCGCUGUGAAGAUGCAGUGUACCCGCGGCAAGACGGAAAGACCCCGUGAACCUUUACUAUAGCUUGACACUGAACAUUGAGCCUUGAUGUGUAGGAUAGGUGGGAGGCUUUGAAGUGUGGACGCCAGUCUGCAUGGAGCCGACCUUGAAAUACCACCCUUUAAUGUUUGAUGUUCUAACGUGGACCCGUGAUCCGGGUUGCGGACAGUGUCUGGUGGGUAGUUUGACUGGGGCGGUCUCCUCCUAAAGAGUAACGGAGGAGCACGAAGGUUGGCUAAUCCUGGUCGGACAUCAGGAGGUUAGUGCAAUGGCAUAAGCCAGCUUGACUGCGAGCGUGACGGCGCGAGCAGGUGCGAAAGCAGGUCAUAGUGAUCCGGUGGUUCUGAAUGGAAGGGCCAUCGCUCAACGGAUAAAAGGUACUCCGGGGAUAACAGGCUGAUACCGCCCAAGAGUUCAUAUCGACGGCGGUGUUUGGCACCUCGAUGUCGGCUCAUCACAUCCUGGGGCUGAAGUAGGUCCCAAGGGUAUGGCUGUUCGCCAUUUAAAGUGGUACGCGAGCUGGGUUUAGAACGUCGUGAGACAGUUCGGUCCCUAUCUGCCGUGGGCGCUGGAGAACUGAGGGGGGCUGCUCCUAGUACGAGAGGACCGGAGUGGACGCAUCACUGGUGUUCGGGUUGUCAUGCCAAUGGCACUGCCCGGUAGCUAAAUGCGGAAGAGAUAAGUGCUGAAAGCAUCUAAGCACGAAACUUGCCCCGAGAUGAGUUCUCCCUGAGACUUUAGGUCUCCUGAAGGAACGUUGAAGACGACGACGUUGAUAGGCCGGGUGUGUAAGCGCAGCGAUGCGUUGAGCUAACCGGUACUAAUGAACCGUGAGGCUUAACCUU